rnacentral:rRNA from 1 species
CCUACGGGUGGCAGUAGUGGGGAAUAUUGGACAAUGGGGGCAACCCUGAUCCAGCCAUGCCGCGUGUGUGAAGAAGGCCCUCGGGUUGUAAAGCACUUUCAGUGAGGAAGAACGCCUGGUGGUUAAUACCCAUCAGGAAAGACAUCACUCACAGAAGAAGCACCGGCUAACUCCGUGCCAGCAGCCGCGGUAAUACGGAGGGUGCGAGCGUUAAUCGGAAUUACUGGGCGUAAAGCGCGCGUAGGUGGCUUGAUAAGCCGGUUGUGAAAGCCCCGGGCUCAACCUGGGAACGGCAUCCGGAACUGUCAAGCUAGAGUGCAGGAGAGGAAGGUAGAAUUCCCGGUGUAGCGGUGAAAUGCGUAGAGAUCGGGAGGAAUACCAGUGGCGAAGGCGGCCUUCUGGACUGACACUGACACUGAGGUGCGAAAGCGUGGGUAGCAAACAGGAUUAGAUACCCCGGUAGUC